AACGAACGCUGGCGGCAGGCUUAACACAUGCAAGUCGAACGCAUCCUUCGGGGUGAGUGGCAGACGGGUGAGUAACGCGUGGGAACGUGCCCUUCAGUUCGGGAUAACCCAGGGAAACUUGGGCUAAUACCGGAUACGUGCGAGAGCAGAAAGAUUUAUCGCUGAAGGAUCGGCCCGCGUCUGAUUAGCUAGUUGGUGGGGUAAUGGCCCACCAAGGCGACGAUCAGUAGCUGGUCUGAGAGGAUGAUCAGCCACAUUGGGACUGAGACACGGCCCAAACUCCUACGGGAGGCAGCAGUGGGGAAUAUUGGACAAUGGGCGCAAGCCUGAUCCAGCCAUGCCGCGUGAGUGAUGAAGGCCUUAGGGUUGUAAAGCUCUUUCGUCCGGGACGAUAAUGACGGUACCUGCAGAAAAAGCACCGGCUAACUACGUGCCAGCAGCCGCAGUAA
rnacentral:rRNA from 1 species